CCGCCGCACACCCCCACCUGGCCCGCGCAGGCCGCUCCGCUCGCCCCACUCCGGCUCCGGCUGGACCCCUGCCCGCCCGCCGUCGCCGCCCGCGGGCGCCCCGGAGGCCCUCAGGCCCCCGGCCUCCACCACCCGGGCGCCGGCCCCACUCACCCUUUCAUUCUCCGCCCGGGGCCUGGCGUGGGCCGGCGAAUCCCCGGCCUCACAUCAGAGUGAGAGGCGCUGGCAAUGGACUAGGAAGCUCGGCUGCCGCUGCUACUGCUCCCCCCUGGGCUCCGGCGAGAGCCUUUCCCUGUCAAGCAAGAGGGGUGAGGAUCAUAUUUUUAUUUUGGAAACUAAAAAGUGCUCCCAGGGUCGGUGAUUAUUAAGGGGAAAUCCCUGAAUAUACUCUCCAGCCAAGAAGGCAGGGCUGCCGGGGCUGUACAAGAAGAGGCAGCAGCCUCCUACAGCACCACUACAGGCACUGCGAGGACAUAACACCAGAGAGCUGCUCCUCUGCCCUCCGAAACGACAACUUUCCUACCAUCUUGGAGGCAGAGCAAAGGGGGGCCAGGGGGAAAAGUGCACCCGCUCCCGAUAAAGUACAAAUUUUUACUUCUCAUCUCUGGAAAAAAGUCCACACCGGCCGUCUACACCCGCGCCUGGGGGAGAAAGCAGGGAAGAAACGGGGGGUGCAUGAGAAACGUUUUCAUUUGCUCCAGGGGGAAAAAUGUUUCUGCAUCUUCUGAUGGAAAGAAAUCUUUACAAGACACAGGUUUUCC
rnacentral:lncRNA from 1 species